ACCGUGGACAUCCGACAUACGGCAAUUUUGUAUUUGUUGUACCCUAUAUUAGAUAAAAUUCAUGUUGUGUCCCUACACUAACUGAUUUGUGUUGUUUAGGAAGGACUACGUAGGUAACUUCGCAAUCCACCGUCACCGCUGUAUUUUGCUCCUCUUUAUCAUAAUAACCAUAAUUUUGCUAUGCUUUACCAUGUUGCUUUCUACAAAUUCGCCCAUCUUCUCCUUCUUUCUCGCUUAACCCUUGUGUUUUUUACGGUGCUUUUUUGCUUUCAUAAAUUGAAUCCCGAUUUCUGGAAUAUAAAGAAAUAUAUUUGGCUGGAAAUUAGGUUUUUGCUGAAUUUUUCACAGUUUCACAUUUGCUCCGCCAAGAUAGUCAUAUGUCUGAAAGGUUAGUUAUUCUAUUGAUCUUCUCCUUCAUAUGGGUGACUGAUUAUUUUGUUUCCGGGUUCUUCUUGGUUUGUUGUUCAAAUUUUGUUGCUUGUGAAACUCAAAGAACUACUUGAAAAGAAACUAGGGUUUCCGCCAAUUACCCGACAAUUUUUUAUCUUUUUUUUAUAUUUGGAGGUUUUAUCAUUUUUAAAUUGGGGAUUUCAGAAUACAUGAGCCUCUGACUUUCUUAUAUUUGGGCCAUAAUUCUAAGUUUCAUCUUGUUCAUCCUGUUUCUUUCUUGCUGCAUCUUCAGAUUUCGUUUUAUCUCAAGUUUAUCCAUUUCGACAUCAACGAUUAAUUGAAGGUCUUUGUGUAAGAAACCUGGGUCACCGACUUGAACGAUAUUUCUUACUUUUAUCAAUCUGCUUUGUUCAUGCCUUACUUCGGGUUUAAAAUCAAUUGUCUGCUAGAUCUCAAAUUUUUUCUUUUGGUCAACUUUGUUUUCAGUUGGCCUACUAUGCGUUUGUUAAAUUGCCAACUCCAAUUACUUACCAUUCCAAGGUAAAUACUUGUUUGGUAUUACUGGGGUUAUUGGGUGUUAAUAGUGAAUUUGGCAGUGCAGGCGAAUUUGCUAUGAAUGGCUUAAUUGAAGGUGUUCGUUAGUCAUAAUUUUUUUUUUUUUUAUCAUGGCAUGAUAAGUAAAAGAACUUGUGAAUGAAUUAUGGAGAAAAAAAUUGACGAAUCAGAAUCCGAACUCAACGUAGAUAGAAGAAUUCUUUCGUCAUAUGGUGUGCUGCUAUGCCAGACAUUAGAUCCUUUAUAUUGAGGAAAAAGCCAAUGAGGCAAUAUCCAUGUCAAAAAGAAAUUGACUGGAACCAUUGCAAAUUUGAAAUAAGAAACUCUUCCCUAUAUUUUCAAGGUUUUUGUUCAAGAUUUGCAGGCAGAUCGAUAAUUUUGUCAUAAAAUAUUCAUGUUAAUAAAGUAUUGACAUGUACAAUUAUUGAAUCUCAAUUAUUCUAUGAAUCUGCGAUUUGCUUUUGCUACGACGUGCCCGUUUCUCUUAACACUAUAACUGGCUACCCAUUUAAAUAUUUUUGAUCAGUUUGAACUCAAAACGAAUUUGAUAUUCUUUUGUAGCCCGAGAAAAACUGGAAGAAUUGAAAUUGAUGUUCGAUUCGCUAGCUGCACAAUUUCUCCUUCUGUUUUUAAGGUAAUUUUUGUCAAAUUUUCAGCUUGUUCCCGAUGAAAUCACGAAUUGGAUAUUUAUAGAUAUAGGGUUAUAUCAGAAUUGAAGGGUCGUUGGGUGAUAGAAUUUUCUAUUUGGUCACCCAUAACGUAAGGAUCAAAAACUUACAUUUGAAAACCAUGUGUCUACUCCAAUUUUAAGCUGCUUCAUUUAUCAGCUUUGUUCUCUGUCAACUUAUUUGGUAGUUAAUUGGGUCUUAUCAAAAGGAAGCUAUGACAAAUAAUUAGUUAUGCUUCAUUUGCAGAAAUAUAUGUGCUUUACCUCUUCAUCUUAUAUCUUGUGGAAUGGUGAUAAAAAAUACAGGGAACUAAGUUUUGUAGGAGUGCUGCUCAAAAUUUUUUUGGGCUUUGGCAUAUUUAUCUGAUAUUUAACUUCUUUUACUAUUUUUGUAUUGGACUAAUAGUUUUGUAGGAGUGCUGCUCAAAACUUUUUGGGCUUUGGCAUAUUUAUAUGAUAUUUAACUUCUUUUACUAUUUUUGUAUUGGACUAAUUUUUUAAUUUAGUUUUUGUCUGUCUAAAAGAUCAAGUUGGUAUCUAAAAACACGUAGGCUGAAAACAUAAAAAGAGAACAACUUGAUAGACAAAAACACGUCAUCAGCGCUUACGCGCCGCAAGCGGGCUUAGACGAGGAGGCUAAGAGGCGCUUUUGGGAGGACUUGGAUGAUCUAGUGAGUAGUAUUCCCCAAUCAACAUUUCCACUAUAUUAGAAGUUGAACUUGUGGCUAUCAGAUAUUAUGGGAUUGUCCAAGAAAGAUGUUGUGAUGGAUGAGGUAAAACCAAAAUAAAAUUUUGGACAGAAUCCCAUAAUAUACUGUAUUGAAUCAGCUGAAAAAUAUAUCUCUUCAACACGGAUAAUCGAAUAAUAUAUUUAGCUAAGUUAUGAACUUACAAGAUAGUCUAUCGCAUUUAAAAAAAUAAUGAAACAAAAAAAGAAUCUGAAUACCUUGGUUCAUGCUUUGUUCUCUGCUUUGGAUCUCUGCAUUACAGAUAACUUUGUACUUUUUCACCUUUUUAAUUGGUAAUGUUCUUUACUAUAAAUUUCCACGCUUUAGUGAUGAUCAUUAUCUGCUGAAUCUUAUUCAGUUUCUUAUUAAUGUAUUAUUGUGUGUAUAACUUUGAUAGCAACUGAUUCUUCUGAGUACUGAGGCUAUUUUAGUUUGGAAGGAUCUAUAUUACGAGAUCAUGGUUAUCUACUGAGAAUAUGUUGCAUCUUUGACUUUAUUUUAUAUUGUUGUUGAUAAAUAAAAAAAUAAACCCAAGUAAUGUAGAAUUAACAAUCAAGUUUGUCUCAGUUGAACUUUCAAAGCUAUUGUAACUGCAAUUUACAAUUCAAUCUGGAAAGAAGAAAACAGAACGUUAAAGUGAAAAAUUAUGAGUAAGAUACGUCAAUACUGUUUUCUCCUUCCUACUCCAAGAGAGAAGAUGAAGCUAGUGUUAGAACAGAUAAUACGUUUGACUAAAAAAUACAAUUUGUCUUUCUAGUGGUAGUAAAAUGAGCAAAAUUGUACAUAAGUAGUAAGUUAAUGAGAAUAUGAGAUGAUCAGAAUAAUAGUUUAGUUUAUGUCGUUAUCUACCUGCCUAACUUCUAACAUCUGAACACACUUUUCUGACUUAUAAUCUGCUUAUCCCGAAUACAUAUGUUGCACCUAUGAUACUACUAUUAGCUGUUGUGUCCCAAAGUUUUGCCAUAUUGAUGUGAAUUACAAUAUCUAAUUUUCAGAACAAGAGUUUCUUUUCCUUAUGUUGGAAUACAGGAGAGUGGAGAUCUAUUGGAACUAGAUUUGGUAUAUUAUACCUUUUCCAGAUGUCCUCGAGAUGGUGCAAAUACGUGUAGCUUUUGAAUUUCCAUGGUUAAGUCUGUUGGCAUUGUAAAGUGAAUUGUAGAAUGUAAAUGAUGAAUUAAAUAUGUUGGAAUUUUUUCUCUAUUGUACAAGGUCGCCCCCAAUAUUAUUGUUCAGCCAUAGGAAUAUCUAUAUCCAUCGUGGUAUUAGCAGAAUCUUACUGCUUGAGCGGGUAACAACACCCUAUAACCUCAAGCCCGGGCCAAUUCCAUCUAGUAUAUAUAUGUAUGUAUGUGUGUGUAUACACUUCAGUAAUUGGAUAUACAAUUAGGGAAAUAUUAAU
rnacentral:lncRNA from 1 species